rnacentral:rRNA from 1 species
CAGCCGCCGCGGUAAUACGUAGGGUGCGAGCGUUAAUCGGAAUUACUGGGCGUAAAGCGUGCGCAGGCGGUUUUGUAAGACAGGCGUGAAAUCCCCGGGCUCAACCUGGGAAUGGCGCUUGUGACUGCAAAGCUAGAGUGCGGCAGAGGGGGAUGGAAUUCCGCGUGUAGCAGUGAAGUGCGUAGAUAUGCGGAGGAAUACCGAUGGCGAAGGCAAUCCCCUGGGCCUGCACUGACGCUCAUGCACGAAAGCGUGGGGAGCAAACAGGAUUAGAUACCCCCGUAGUCCCUGUCUCUUAUAA